rnacentral:rRNA from 1 species
CCUACGGGUGGCUGCAGUGAGGAAUAUUGGUCAAUGGACGAGAGUCUGAACCAGCCAAGUAGCGUGAAGGAUGACUGCCCUCUGGGUUGUAAACUUCUUUUAUAAAGGAAUAAAACGAGGCACGUGUGCCUUUUUGUCUGUACUUUAUGAAUAAGGAUCGGCUAACUCCGUGCCAGCAGCCGCGGUAAUACGGAGGAUCCGAGCGUUAUCCGGAUUUAUUGGGUUUAAGGGGAGCGUAGAUGGGUUGUUAAGUCAGUUGUGAAAGUUUGCGGCUCAACCGUAAAAUUGCAAUUGAUACUGGCAGUCUUGAGUACAGUUGAGGUAAGCGGAAUUCGUGGUGUAGCGGUGAAAUGCUUAGAUAUCACGAAGAACCCCGAUUGCGAAGGCAGCUUACUAAACUGUGACUGACAUUGAUGCUCGAAAGUGUGGGUAUCAAACAGGAUUAGAUACCCGAGUAGUC